rnacentral:piRNA from 1 species
AAGUAUUCAAGGACUCUACGAAGACACU